CUUUGUGUUUGUGGGUUUAGCAGCUCUCAUAAUAUCUGCUGUUAAGUCAACAUGUGGACAAAAAGAAUCAAAACACAGACAGAAGGAAACACUGUGCAUAAAGAUGAAGAUGAAGGUUCAGUGAUCUAUGAAAACUCUGGAGAGCCUCUGCUUCUGUCAGACUCCACUGAUCAGAAAAUUCAGCAUCAACUCAGCACAGAAACAAAUUCACUGCUGUUUAACACAUUUAAGCUUGAUUUGAUCUUGCAUUUAGUAUUCAGGUCAAUUUUAUUUAUAUAGCACCAAAUCACAACCAACAGUCUCCUCAAGGUGCUUUAUA